rnacentral:rRNA from 1 species
ACUCCUACGGGAGGCAGCAGUGGGGAAUAUUGCACAAUGGGGGAAACCCUGAUGCAGCCAUGCCGCGUGUGUGAGAAGCAGCUUCGGGUUGUAAAGCACUUUCAGUAGGGAGGAAGGUAGUGUAGUUAACACCUGCACUAUUUGACGUUACCUACAGAAGAAGCACCGGCUAACUCCGUGCCAGCAGCCGCGGUAAUACGGAGGGUGCGAGCGUUAAUCGGAAUUACUGGGCGUAAAGCGCAUGCAGGCGGCCUGUUAAGUCAGAUGUGAAAGCCCGGGGCUUAACCUCGGAAUUGCAUUUGAAACUGGCAGGCUAGAGUCUUGUAGAGGGGGGUAGAAUUUCAGGUGUAGCGGUGAAAUGCGUAGAGAUCUGAAGGAAUACCAGUGGCGAAGGCGGCCCCCUGGACAAAGACUGACGCUCAGAUGCGAAAGCGUGGGGAGCAAACAGGAUUAGAUACCCUGGUA